UGUGUACUCCUUCCAUUCCAAAAUACUUGACUUACAUUUGUCCAAAAAUGGAUGUGCCUAUAUACUAAAACAUGUCUAGAUACAUAUAUAUUUUGACAAAUAGAAGGCAUGUAUUGUGCAAUGGAGGGAGUAGAAU
rfam:Triticum aestivum genome assembly, contig: Triticum_aestivum_CS42_TGACv1_scaffold_053173_1BS